UCCAAUUAUACGUGUAGCACCACUAUCGGUGCCCUCUUGCACAGGUGAUAAUCAUAUUACUAUCCUAUCAACGUUAUUGCCAUUCCUGGACGCAUACCACGAUAGCACUAUUUGAAGUGCUUAGACCGACGGUGUCGAUCGAUCGACCUCAAAGAGGAUCGAAUUUACCCUUUGCCAAUCUAUCUCAGUCAGUCUCUCUCUCUCUCCCCCCUCCCUUUCCCUUUCUCUUUCUCUCUAUCUCUCUUUCUUACUUACCUAAGACGAUCGAGAAGGGUUAAACGACGCGGAACCCGAUCCGAAAGACGACAAGGAGCCCCGAUAAUGCAUUCUCUUGUUCCUUAUCUUUCGAUUCUAGCUUGGUCGAAGCUAGAAUAUUCGUUGGACCGCGGCGAAAACAAGAUAGAAAUAAAUAUAAGGGGCUCAGCGAGAGUAGAGUUUUCAACUUCCGGGAAGUGGUGAACGUGUUAGUUGUACUAUCGGCUCUGCCGGAAGAGAAGUCGAAACGUUCGAACGUAUUCGAAAGAGAUAGUUCGUGUAAAAAGUUCAUGUAAUCUGGUCACUUAUUCUUGGUGGAGAAAGGAGGGGAGGGAGGAAAGAACGGGAAAGUAAAUUACUUUUCGAACGAAACGAAGUCGUGAACUAAGUUUCACGUUGCUCUUAUACUAGAUGGUAUAGCACGUUUAACGAGACUAUAGUUUAGGAGAUGUAAACAAAAAAAAAUUGUAUGUUAUUGGGGACGUCAUAGAGUCAGGAACAUAUUUACAACACUUCGAUAUUAUUAUUUACGCUUUACGAACGGAAACAAUAGCCUACGAAAAUUUAUUCUUAUAUUUAACAAUUGAUUAUCGUUCGCCAAUCAGGAAAAAAUAAAGAUAUUUUGAAAGUUCUAUUCUUAAGUCGGCCGAGCUUUCAGUUAAUUGUUUGGUAUGAAAGAAAUAUCAUGUGAUGGCAAUUUUUUGUUUUGAUCAACUCACUCCUCCAUCAGCGUAGCCGUAUAAUCCGAAGACAACCCAAUGGACUAUGCCUCGCUCGACACCUGUCUCGACAAAUCCUUCAGCAUCACCUCUGAUAGUACAAACCCAUCUGCCUGUCAUCAUUUCUGUAAA